rnacentral:rRNA from 1 species
UACGGAGGGGGCUAGCGUUGUUCGGAAUGACUGGGCGUAAAGCGCGCGUAGGCGGAUCAUCAAGUCGGGGGUGAAAUCCCGGGGCUCAACCCCGGAACGGCCUUCGAGACUGGUGGUCUUGAGUUCGAGAGAGGUGGGUGGAAUUCCGAGUGUAGAGGUGAAAUUCGUAGAUAUUCGCAAGAACACCAGUGGCGAAGGCGGCUCACUGGCCCGGUACUGACGCUGAGGUGCGAAAGCGUGGGGAGCAAACAGG